CUUUUUUCACAAUUAAAAUAACUUUAAAGCACGUGGGGAUGAUAGCUAGGAAGUGAGAAUUGCUGAAAUCUGGUAGAACAAUAAACAGUUUGUGCAAUGAGCUUUUUAGGAAAAAAGGAGACUAUAGGUGAAAUAAGCAUCCACUCAUGCUUUUGUAGUGGAAAAUAAAAUGAAGUAUCAGAAGAUAAGAGAAGAAGCCAAUUGUGGAGUGGGAAGAGUGGUGGAGAGAAAAAAGGGGAAAUACUUUGAGUUGUGGAGAGAAUUUGGGAAAAUGGGAAAGUGGAAAAUCUUCAAAGGUGUUAAGGGCUUGAAAUAAAGAAGAGGAGUAAGCAGUGAAUGUUCAUAAAGGACCAUUGAGGAGGAAGCGAGACCAAGAAGGAGAUACACGGAGAGCCUAAUAUCAGCUCUGAAAUCAUCAAUAAAC
rnacentral:lncRNA from 1 species